rnacentral:rRNA from 1 species
AACGAACGCUGGCGGCAUGCCUAAUACAUGCAAGUCGAACGAGAUCUUCGGAUCUAGUUGCGCACGGGUGCGUAACGCGUGGGAAUCUGCCCUUGGUUUCGGAAUAACUUCUGGAAACGGAAGCUAAUACCGGAUGAUGACCUAAGUCCAAAGAUUCAUCGCCCAAGGAUGAGCCCGCGUAGGAUUAGGUAGUUGGUGAGGUAAAGGCUCACCAAGCCGCCGAUCCUUAGCUGGUCUGAGAGGAUGAUCAGCCACACUGGGACUGGGACACGGCCAAGACACCUCCGGGAGGCAGCAGUAGGGAAUAUUGGACAAUGGACAGAAGCUUGAUCCAGCAAUGACUCGAGAGUGAUGAAGGCCUUAGGGUUGUAAAGCUCUUUUACCCGGGAUGAUAAUGACAGUACCGGGAGAAUAAGCUCCGGCUAACUCCGUGCCAGCCGCCGCCGUAAGAC